AGGGUGUAAACGCUGCCGACUUGGUGUUGGAGGCCCUUCGGGGGCAUUCAGUGCCGGAGAGAAGUUGUUAAGUCGGCCACUUGGGGAGUACGUCCGCAAGGAUGAAACUUAAAGGAAUUGGCGGGGGAGCACCGCAACGGGAGGAGCGUGCGGUUUAAUUGGAUUCAACACCGUAAAACUCACCAGGGAAGACUGUUACAUGAAAGCCGAGAUGAAGACUCUGCUAGAUUUUCAGAGAGGUGGUGCAUGGCGUCAGUGACU
rnacentral:rRNA from 1 species